rnacentral:lncRNA from 1 species
GGGUCCUGCUGCUCCUCUGGAAGUUCGCAUGGCGUGUGUCCAGCCAGAGCUGGGGACCGAGGAGGCGAUGGAGGCCCCUGUUCUGCCUGCUGGUUUACCAGGAAGUCCAUGAGCCCAAGAGCCUCGGCUGGUCCUGCCCAUGGGGGUCCUGGCCAUGCUGCGUCCUGACCAAGGUCAUGAGGGCUCUGCCAAGGUGGGGGCCUGGACCCUGGCACCCAGUGCCUGAAGCCAAUGUCCUGUGGCUGUCAUUCCCAUGGCUGCAGAUACACAGAAGGGGGUCCAGCUCCUGACUGGGGGCAAAGGUCCAGGACAGCAGACAGACGGGCGACGCCGGGCCUCUGGCUGCUCCAGGUCCCCACUGGUAGGCGAUCCGGGCCAGGGCUCAGCACCAGUCCUCUGUAUCCCUGCGGGACAGCAGCUUGGAGCCUGUGGUGCUCAGGAAGAGGCUGGGAGGACAGUGGGGGGUGGGAGGUUGUAAUCCCUUGGGGUUCAGGUGGGUGGGGGGCUCCAACCUCAGGCUAUACCACAGUUUCCUGACCACAGCCACCUGGCCAGGGCAGCGCUUGUCUGACUGGGCCGGGUGGGGGCUUGGGUGGCUGGUGACACUGUCCCUCAGGAGGAAUGAGGUGGGCAGAGCCUCCCUGUGCCAGCCUCUGCCCCCUUGGCCUGGUGGCCUGGACGGAGCCAAUCUGCUGGGCAGGACUGGGGUGUCUGGGACCUGGCUCCUGGGGCCCUCACCUCCGGGCCCCUCUGCAGCUCCCAGGGUCCUGCCUGGGCACAGGGCCUCAGUUUCCCUAAGGCCUGGCUCCCUGUCAGGGGCCCUGCUGGGCUCCUCCUCCUCCCUCCCCUGCCCCUGCGGGUUGUCCCUCAUGGGAUCAGACCUCUGCUUUGGGCACCCUGGCACCAUGCUCCUGCCGGGCCAGGGGCUCUCUGGCAGGAACCUGGCAGGGCAGGGCCAGGGACGGACAUGCAGACCCACAGGGAUGCGGCUGGUCAUCCAGCGCCGCCCAGACCCGGCUGAGCCCAGUGCACAGCUGUGUGGUCCCUGUGGUGGAGGAGCUCCAGCACCCAGGAUGCCGCGUGUGACUGUGGCCAAGGCCACUUCUGCAAGGCCCAGGAAGGGGACCCUGUGUCCUGUGCGAGCCCCACACCACCUGCCACCCUGGCUGGAGGGUGAAGGAGAGACCACCAAGGCAGGACCGAGGCCCAGGAGGUGCCGACUGCCUGCCUGGGACCUUCUCGCCCAAUGGGACCCUGGACCAGGUGCAGUGGGUGGCUUCAGAGGGAAGCAGAACCGGGGACCAGCAGCAAGGAUGGCACCUGCUCCCUUGUGGCGUCUCUGUUCUUGCGUCCUGCAUGGUGACCGUCGGCACCCUCACUCUGGCGGGCGUUCUCUCAGCCCUCUGGAUACGGAAGAGAAGGAAAAGGUCGUCGGGGGGAGAGGCAGGAAGGAGCGGAGGAGCCCGCAGAUCCUGAGGCCCUGCAACCCAGGCCCUAUGUCACCACCGUGGCUGUGGAGAAGGACCCCCACCGCUGAGCACCAGCUCCAGCCUGACCACAGCUUUCCUGAGCCAGAAGCCCGUGACAGCGCCUGGUCCACUCCAGUCUGUUUUCUCCAGAGUCUUCCCAAGUGUAAAAGGUCUUGGGCAUCUGCUGCCUGGCGCCAAGAGUCUGUCCCUCAGCCCCAGUCACUUCCAGUCCUGACUCUGUACCUUCUGUCUUGGGGCUCCUCGGGAUGCUUCCCGGAACAUCUCCUCCUAACAGAGUUUCAGGUUCCUAAAGGAGUAUCCCGCGGCGGGAAGGAAGGCGUCUAGCACGUGCUCGGCCCAGCUCCCCUCUCUCGGUGUCCACAGAGCCAGGCGACUGGAGACCUCAAGACAGACGCCAGUGUGGCCCUGCGGCAGGCCCCGGCUUCCCUGAGGCCUUUCUUGGUUCAUGGAGCACGUGGCUCAGGGGGACUUCAGUAGCAAUGCACCCCAGGGACCCCAGAUGCUGGGAAAUGGUGGGGCACGGUGCUGGGAGUUUCGAGGAGGUCCAGCCUGGAGCUCCUGCUGAGCCUCAGUUUGUUGGUCUGGAGGAUGGGCCCGGUCUACCUUGCAGAGCUGGGACUGCUCUGGGGUGGCCAUGAAUGUGGCCUUCAGUGACUCCUGUUCGGAGUGACUUACUAAAUUGCAGUUUCUUCCUUCCUUUUUUGUAUUUGUCAUAAAAUAUAUACACUUGUAUUUGUAUAGAAGCGUUUCGUCACUGUGUGAUCCUCCUGUCUCUCAUGGGCCCGGUUAUGCUGCAGUCCUGUCUUCUGCAUCACUCGGGGCUCCCUGGUGACAGGGUUUUUCCCCUUUUCCCAUCCCUCCCCGGCACCACCGCCUGGUGGCCUCUUACUGUGUUUCCAGGAUCAAACCCAUAGCUGUGACUAUUUCUCUCACUGUCAUGUCCCAGUUUUGUCCUGUGAGCCCUG